UAAGUCGAUAUUUUACUUUGCGGCGCCGGCUGGUUUCCCAUUUUCACCGCCCAUAUAUAUAUAUAUAUGGGGAAAGUGAGGGUGGUGCUGUUCAGCACCUAGCUUAGGUGAAAUACUAUCUAAAACGACGUCGUUUCAUAUUAAAAAAAAAAAAUAAAAAUUUCCACCCACUUUAUUGUUUUGCCUCUUCUUCCAUCUUCUCAGUUCUCAUUGAAUCCACCUGUACUCUUCAAACUCAUUCUCUUAAUCCAUAAUUUUUCUCCAUCUUCUUCUAAUCUUCUCCCAUCAUCGACCUCUCUUAAUCAUCUUUUUCAAUCUGUAGGUUGAUUAUAUUGAAAAGAUAUCAGACCCCAUUGUUGGAUGAGAUCAAUGAAGUUAAUGACGAUGACAAAGAAGAUGGACAUGAAUGAGAAAUAGAAGGAGGCAUUAGUUCGGCUGAAUUUCAAGACAUUAUUAGUUAACUAGCUCAACUUAGCAAUGUAAUAAACACUUAUGUACUUCAAUUUUUUCAAUAAUAGAGAUUAUUCAUUA